AUUGAACGCUGGCGGCAGGCCUAACACAUGCAAGUCGAACGAGUGGCGGACGGGUGAGUAAUGUCUGGGAAAAUGCCUGAUGGAGGGGGAUAACUACUGGAAAAGGUAGCUAAUACCGAAUACCAUCGGAAGUGACAAGAUGGGAUUAGCUAGUAGGUGGGGUAAAGGCUCACAUAGGCGACGAUCCCUAGCUGGUCUGAGAGGAUGACCAGCCACACUGGAACUGAGAAACGGUCCAGACUCCUACGGGAGGCAGCAGUGGGGAAUAUUGCACAAUGGGCUCAAGCCUGAUGCAGCCAUGCCGCGUGUAUGAAGAAGGCCUUCGGGUUGUAAAGUACUUUCAGCGGGGAGGCGUUACCCGCAGAAGAAGCACCGGCUAACUCCGUGCCAGCCGCCGCGGUAAUUC
rnacentral:rRNA from 1 species